rnacentral:rRNA from 1 species
AGAGUUUGAUUCUGGCUCAGGAUGAACGCUAGCGGCAGGCCUAACACAUGCAAGUCGAGGGGCAGCACGUCUUCGGAUGGUGGCGACCGGCGCACGGGUGCGUAACGCGUAUGCAACCUACCUUUAACAGGAGCAUAGCCCCGAGAAAUCGGGAUUAAUACUCCAUAACAAUUAAGAGUGGCAUCACUUUUUAUUUAAAGCUUUGGCGGUUAAAGAUGGGCAUGCGUGACAUUAGUUAGUUGGUGAGGUAACGGCUCACCAAGACUACGAUGUCUAGGGGUUCUGAGAGGAUUAACCCCCACACUGGUACUGAGACACGGACCAGACUCCUACGGGAGGCAGCAGUGAGGAAUAUUGGUCAAUGGACGCAAGUCUGAACCAGCCAUGCCGCGUGAAGGAUGAAGGCCUUAUGGGUUGUAAACUUCUUUUAUACGGGAAUAAACUUAGUUAUGUAUAACUAACUGCAGGUACCGUAUGAAUAAGCACCGGCUAACUCCGUGCCAGCAGCCGCGGUAAUACGGAGGGUGCAAGCGUUAUCCGGAUUUAUUGGGUUUAAAGGGUUCGCAGGCGGACUAAUAAGUCAGUGGUGAAAUCUCUCGGCUCA